ACUCCUGUAGCCCAACGGGUAGAGGCGGCUGUCUCAAAAACAGUCAAUGUGCGGGUUCAAAUCCUACCAGGAGUACCA
rnacentral:tRNA from 1 species